rnacentral:rRNA from 1 species
UACGUAGGGUCCGAGCGUUGUCCGGAAUUACUGGGCGUAAAGAGCUCGUAGGUGGUUUGUCGCGUUGUUCGUGAAAACUCACAGCUCAACUGUGGGCGUGCGGGCGAUACGGGCAGACUAGAGUACUGCAGGGGAGACUGGAAUCCUGGUGUAGCGGUGGAAUGCGCAGAUAUCAGGAGGAACACCGGUGGCGAAGGCGGGUCUCUGGGCAGUAACUGACGCUGAGGAGCGAAAGCGUGGGGAGCGAACAGG